CCUACGGGAGGCUGCAGUGGGGAAUAUUGCACAAUGGGGGAAACCCUGAUGCAGCGACGCCGCGUGAGUGAAGAAGUAAUUCGUUAUGUAAAGCUCUAUCAGCAGGGAAGUAAAUGACGGUACCUGAGUAAGAAUCCCCGGCUAACUACGUGCCACCAGCCGCGGUAAUACGUCGGGGGCAAGCGUUAUCCGGAUUUACUGGGUGUAAAGGGGGCGUAGACGGCAGUGCAAGUCCGGAGUGAAAGGCGGGGGCUCAACCCCCAGACUGCUCUUGAAACUGUACGGCUGGAGUGCAGGAGAGGUAAGUGGAAUUCGUAGUGUAGCGGUGAAAUGCGUAGAUAUUAGGAGGAACACCAGUGGCGAAGGCAGCUUACUGGACUGUAACUGACGUUGAGGCUCGAAAGCGUGGGGAGCAAACAGGAUUAGAUACCCUUGUAGUC
rnacentral:rRNA from 1 species